rnacentral:lncRNA from 1 species
GUGUUCAUCUAUAUACUAAAUUUGUUAAAUUAUAAUUUACAACUUAUUUCGUUGCUUCGACUGAAUUACGAAAAUUAAUUGACACGACACACUACACGUAUGGAUCACAUCUAACUUGGGAGGAGAAGGACCAUCUUCUCCACUUUCUUGUUGCUGUUGUUCUGGCUUCUAGGGAUACCUUCCCGUAUCAUUUUGGAAUUGGCCAGCCUUAUUCAUUUUACAUGCCACUAGUGCAUAGGUUGAGUCAAGAUGACAUUCGUCGAAAUGUCUUGGUAAGAGUUUCCUAAUUAAGUACGCUUCACUAUUGCAUAAAUGGUGUUGAUUACAUUGCUAACUAGGUUAUUAUUAUGUUCUUCAACAGCAACUGCCACAUGAUGUAGUGCCUCCGUUAAUGGACCCAGAAGGUCAAGUGCGAAUUAGAAGCCCGCUGAGGGCUGAGUUCUAUGCUCCAUACUUGAUUAACUUCAAAUCAAGAUAAAAAAGACUUCAAAUUGAAGCAUGAAGAGAAAUAAAGAAGGUUCGCAAGCCACAAGCUGGAGACCGUUGGAUCUCUGUGAUUCAUCAUGGAGCCAUAGGUCUUAUUCUGUUUUAUGACAUUAUAUCUAAGAACGAGGACUAGGUCUUAUGAGAGACAAGUUAUUCUAUUUUAUAUUAUUACUUGACAUGAUCGAUUAAUUAGGAUGCAUGAUGCAUAUGAUGACUAUAUAUAUAUUAUGAUAUUUCUCUGUUUUAUUUUAUGUGUAUCAUAUGAUAACUUGGUAUAUGAUUAAGUUGAUGAUGAGUUGUUAGAUGAUUGAUUAGAAUACUAUUGCCAUUCGACGAAAAUGAUAUGAAAUGAUAUAGUGUAAAAAAGAUGCAUAUAUGUGCAUGUAACUCGUG